CGCUAGAAUAGUUUCACAAUUUUUGCGCAAAAUUAAAUUUUAAGAAAAAGUGUGUUUUAUGUGAUUAAAAAUUAAAGAAAUGUGUGUACAAAUAGUGUUUUUAAAUGGGCAUGCAGUGAUUAUGUACAACAGUUUUCUUUAUGAUGGUCAAUACAAGUAACAGUUUGUCAUUUAUCACAUGCAACUUCUACAACUUGGUUGGUCUAACAGUUUUUAGAGAAGUGUGUUGUGUGUGUGAUUUUAAUUCAUCAAGGAAAAGGAAACCGGAAGUUAACCAUAGAGAAAAAUUCUUGCAAAUUAUUGGACCUUUAAGAUAGCCAUACAAUCUAUAUUGUAUUCGUGAUGCGAGUUUUUAUUGCAGAAAGCCUUUAUUGAAUAUAAAGC